rnacentral:rRNA from 1 species
GACGAACGCUGGCGGCGUGCCUAAUACAUGCAAGUAGAACGCUGAAGGAGGAGCUUGCUUCUCUGGAUGAGUUGCGAACGGGUGAGUAACGCGUAGGUAACCUGCCUGGUAGCGGGGGAUAACUAUUGGAAACGAUAGCUAAUACCGCAUAAUAGCAGUUAUUGCAUGAUAACUGUUUGAAAGGUGCAAUUGCACCACUACCAGAUGGACCUGCGUUGUAUUAGCUAGUUGGUGGGGUAACGGCUCACCAAGGCGACGAUACAUAGCCGACCUGAGAGGGUGAUCGGCCACACUGGGACUGAGACACGGCCCAGACUCCUACGGGAGGCAGCAGUAGGGAAUCUUCGGCAAUGGACGGAAGUCUGACCGAGCAACGCCGCGUGAGUGAAGAAGGUUUUCGGAUCGUAAAGCUCUGUUGUAAGAGAAGAAACGAGUGUGAGAGUGGAAAGUUCACAACUGGG